AGAUCGGCUGAUCUCAAGACUUCAGGAAGACUUUGGACACAGCCCUGUCGUUGCAAAUAUGCUUUUUGCUUUUGUCCUGGCUAUUGUAGAGAAGAUAGUGGAGGUGGAGUUUGCUUGCCCUUGCAAUCCUCAAUGGAACGGCCUAUUUGCAUCUGCAUUUUUUGUAAUUCCGGCCUGUAUAUCUUUUUUUCUGAUGUUGAUAAUCCAUGAAUGCAAGUGCAAAAAUCAUUCUACAAAAUGUGUGUACAGCAUUCUCCCUCCCUUGGUAUGGCAGGUUCUCGUUUUUCUUGAUGGCCAAUACUUUGUCUGUGCAAUGACAGACUGGACUGGCACAUUUGUCUCUGUAGAUAACACUUAUCUGAAGUGGUGCACACCAUCAAAUACAACAAGAUACUCACCAGAAGAACUCAUGGCUCGUUCACACAAACAUUAUGCUUUGUCUCAGGGAAUUGGAUUUGGUAUUCUCAUAUUUUUCGCCAUUGCUCUCAUUGCAUAUGGGAUAAAGAAGUGCAAUAAAUUAAAUUAACUUCAACAAGCCACAAGAUCCAGAAGGAAUACAAAAGACAACAGGAUGGAGGAUGCUGAAUAAGUAUUUGAUGGAUGAAUAUUGGACAUGCCUUAUUAAGUAUACAGAGACAGGAGGAACAUCUUCAGAAACACAUUUGAUCAGAAAAGCACAUUACUACAUAUUAAUCCAUUCAAUCUGUUCAAGAAUCGUUCAGUCUCUUGGUAUUGCUAACGGCUUCUUUUUCCCUGCCAACUGUGAGCUUUGCAGGCUCUUAUAAUCCUAUUAAAUGCUACAGAUUCACCAUAAACUGAAUCAAUACAGUGCACCUGUUGGCUGGGUUGUUUUGGAGAUGCCAAACAAUAAGCUGAAAUACUUCUUUAGGAACAUAGACUUUACUGAGAGAAAGAUAUUUUUUACUCUGAGCAUGGCCCAUCUAACUUUAAACAUCUUCUCACUCUGUAACAAAUUAAACAAAUUCAACAUGUAUGCGAAAAUGUCAACAAAUAUAGUGUUCAGUGUUAUUAUGUAUUUUGUAAGGAUACAUGGGAGAAUUUUUAUUUUUUUAAAACUUUUUGUGUAUUUUUUUAUUACUUGUGUAAGCUGCUUUUUCAGCUGAUGUGUGUGAUAGUCUAUGACAGUCACCUGUAAAAUACAGAUGUUUUGCAAUCACAAAGCACGCUACUGUAUGAUGUGAUUUAUUGAAUGUUUAUGUUUGUUACAUGGUGCAGACAUGGUAUUGUGGUAUAUAUGAGAACUGAUGCACAGUAAAGAAAACAACAACAAAAUCACAUUAAUUGUGUCGUGCUUUUGUAAAUGCUGUUCUACACAAAAUGUUUUUCUCUGUGAUUUAAGUGUUUGCAGCCAGGACCUGUGGCCAGCCUGUCUGAGGACAGUCAGGAAUCUAUCUUCUUCGUUUUGUUUGUUUCUUUUUUAACUCUCCUUACUAAAUCCCAAGUAGAUGUAUGUACAGUAUUUUAAUACAACUGUGAUAAGUCAAAACCGAGGUCUUUGGUGGGAGGUGUCUCUCUAGUUAGCCUACUUUAUGUUUCUCCUGUACCUGCAGUUCAGUUUUUUAAUAAACCAUCUGUGUUAUAAACAUCUA